rnacentral:rRNA from 1 species
UGGGGAAUAUUGGACAAUGGGCGAAAGCCUGAUCCAGCCAUGCCGCGUGUGUGAAGAAGGUCCUCGGAUUGUAAAGCACUUUAAGUUGGGAGGAAGGGCAUUAACCUAAUACGUUAGUGUUUUUACGUUACCGACAGAAUAAGCACCGGCUAACUCUGUGCCAGCAGCCGCGGUAAUACAGAGGGUGCAAGCGUUAAUCGGAAUUACUGGGCGUAAAGCGCGCGUAGGUGGUUUGUUAAGUUGGAUGUGAAAUCCCCGGGCUCAACCUGGGAACUGCAUUCAAAACUGACUGACUAGAGUAUGGUAGAGGGUGGUGGAAUUUCCUGUGUAGCGGUGAAAUGCGUAGAUAUAGGAAGGAACACCAGUGGCGAAGGCGACCACCUGGACUAAUACUGACACUGAGGUGCGAAAGCGUGGGGAGCAAACA